CAGUAGCCACGGUAAUACAGAGGGUGCGAGCGUUAAUCGGAUUUACUGGGCGUAAAGCGUGCGUAGGCGGCCUUUUAAGUCGGAUGUGAAAUCCCUGAGCUUAACUUAGGAAUUGCAUUCGAUACUGGGAAGCUAGAGUAUGGGAGAGGAUGGUAGAAUUCCAGGUGUAGCGGUGAAAUGCGUAGAGAUCUGGAGGAAUACCGAUGGCGAAGGCAGCCAUCUGGCCUAAUACUGACGCUGAGGUACGAAAGCAUGGGGAGCAAACAGGAUUAGAUACCCCAGUAGUCCCUGUCUCUUAUAA
rnacentral:rRNA from 1 species